CAUGGAGCUGAAAUCAGUCGAAGAUACCAGCUGGCUGCAACUGUUUAUUAAAAACACAGCACUGUGCAAACACGAAAGUGGACGUAUACGGUGUGACGCCUGCCCGGUGCCGGAAGGUUAAUUGAUGGGGUUAUCCGUAAGGAGAAGCUCUUGAUCGAAGCCCCGGUAAACGGCGGCCGUAACUAUAACGGUCCUAAGGUAGCGAAAUUCCUUGUCGGGUAAGUUCCGACCUGCACGAAUGGCGUAAUGAUGGCCAGGCUGUCUCCACCCGAGACUCAGUGAAAUUGAACUCGCUGUGAAGAUGCAGUGUACCCGCGGCAAGACGGAAAGACCCCGUGAACCUUUACUAUAGCUUGACACUGAACACUGGUCCUUGAUGUGUAGGAUAGGUGGGAGGCUUUGAAGUGUGGACGCCAGUCUGCAUGGAGCCAACCUUGAAAUACCACCCUUUAAUGGCUGGUGUUCUAACGUGGACCCGUAAUCCGGGUUGCGGACAGUGUCUGGUGGGUAGUUUGACUGGGGCGGUCUCCUCCUAAAGAGUAACGGAGGAGCACGAAGGUUAGCUAAUCCUGGUCGGACAUCAGGAGGUUAGUGCAAAGGCAUAAGCUAGCUUGACUGCGAGAGUGACGGCUCGAGCAGGUGCGAAAGCAGGUCUUAGUGAUCCGGUGGUUCUGAAUGGAAGGGCCAUCGCUCAACGGAUAAAAGGUACUCCGGGGAUAACAGGCUGAUACCGCCCAAGAGUUCAUAUCGACGGCGGUGUUUGGCACCUCGAUGUCGGCUCAUCACAUCCUGGGGCUGAAGUAGGUCCCAAGGGUAUGGCUGUUCGCCAUUUAAAGUGGUACGCGAGCUGGGUUUAGAACGUCGUGAGACAGUUCGGUCCCUAUCUGCCGUGGGCGCUGGAGAAUUGAGGGGGGCUGCUCCUAGUACGAGAGGACCGGAGUGGACGCAUCACUGGUGUUCGGGUUGUCAUGCCAAUGGCAUUGCCCGGUAGCUAAAUGCGGAAGAGAUAAGUGCUGAAAGCAUCUAAGCACGAAACUUGCCCCGAGAUGAGUUCUCCCUGGUUUUUCCCCCCCCCCCCCGUAUAAGUCUCCUGAAGGAACGUUAAAGACGAUGACGUUGAUAGGUCGGGUGUGUAAGUGUAGCGAUACAUUGAGCUAACCGAUACUAAUGAACCGUGAGGCUUAACCUUACAACGCCGAAG
rnacentral:rRNA from 1 species